rnacentral:sRNA from 2 species
CCGGAGUCGACGGCCACAGGACUCCGAGGCACCCACCUGUCAUACAUUGAUGUCGGCCAUUCUGAGCAAGCAGCAGCCGCAGCACGUCGGAUUGGCUUUCUGCAUACUCUGGUCCAUCCUGUAAGCUUUCCGUGUUCAGGAAUAAUUUUCAGCUGCACCGCCUCAUUGGCCAUUGAAAUCCUCAAUUGAUUUGACUGUCGGAUGGGUUGAAAACACAAACAGACGCCAACAAGCGAAAGGGGAGCAGUCUGUGCCAUCACAGACAUCGCCCACAUCCUACGCAGUACAGGGCCACAGCCCGCAUUCCUGUUCCAC